rnacentral:lncRNA from 1 species
AUGCCAUCGUCAGCACAGCAGAGGCCGGCGGGGGCGGGGGGGGGUGUGUGUGGCCGGCAUUCACGGAGCGCUCGCCGUGUGCCGCGGACCGCCUCCGGGACGAGGGAGGGGAGGGGAGGGGAGGGGAAGCGAGCGGCGAGGCGGCGCGGCCGGGGAGUCGGGGGGGAGCCGGGUCGUGAUCCCCGGUCCGGGCCUCGGUCCCCUCCUCCGUCCCGCCGGGGGGGCGGGGGGUUCGGGUCCCGCGCGGGGCGGGCGCCUCGGGAAUCCCGCGAGUCCUCCCCGCGGCGUUGUCGUUGCUCCAGGCCCGGAGUGGGGGCCCCCGGCGGCGGCCCCCGGCGGCGUCCCGCAGUGGGCUCACCGGCGGACCCCCUCGGAAGCGGACCGCUGGCUGGAGGAGGUGUCCAAGACGGCGCGGGCCCGCCCGCCGCCGCCGGCCUUCGGCCCCGCCCGGCCCCCCCCGGCAGCCAACGGGCCGGGCCGCCCGGCCCCGGGGGGCCCCGCCGCGGCGGCGGGCGACGUCCUCGGCCCGGCCGGCCCCCCGCGGCCGGCCCCCCUCGCCCCGGCCCGGCGGCCCAACGGCCCGGCGGCCCCCCGCGACGGGGCGGACGGCGGGCGGCGGUGGCCGCGGACCCCCGGGGACCCGCCCGUCGAUCCGUUCGAGGCCCAGUGGGCCGCCUUGGAGAGCCAGGCCAAGCAGCUCGCCAACCCCUCGCCCACCAACCCUUUCUCCGGCGACCUGCAGAAGACGUUCGAGAUCGAACUCUGAGGAGGACCCGGGCCGGGCGGGGGGCGGCGGGGAGGGCGGGGGGCCGGGGGGGGGGGGGGGGACGGGGCCGGGGACGGGAGCGGCGACGGGAGCCGGCCCCCCGCGACGCCGGCCGGGAGGAGGGCCGAGCUCGGGGGGUGGGGGACGGGGAGACGGGGCGGACCUCCCGCUUCGACGGACGGCGUGCGUCCGUCUGUCCCUCUCCGUCGACGAUCCGCGGACGGCUAGGGCCGGACGGGUGUACGCGUGCGUGUAUAUUAUAUAUAUAUUAUAUAUUAAUAAUGCCCAAAUCUUUAUUUUUAUGCAUUUAG